AUUGAACGCUGGCGGCAGGCCUAACACAUGCAAGUCGAACGAGUGGCGGACGGGUGAGUCAUGUCUGGGAAACUGCCCGAUGGAGGGGGAUAACUACUGGAAACAGUAGCUAAUACCGCAUACCAUCGGAUGUGCCCAGAUGGGAUUAGCUAGUAGGUGGGGUAACGGCUCACCUAGGCGACGAUCCCUAGCUGGUCUGAGAGGAUGACCGGCCACACUGGAACGGAGAAACGGCCCAGACUCCUACGGGAGGCAGAAGUGGGGAAUAUUGGACAAUGGGGGAAGGCCUGAUACAGCCAGGCGGCGUGUAUGAAGAAGGCCUUCGGGUUGUAAAGUACUUUCAGCGAGGAGGCGGUACUCGAAGAAGAAGCACCGGCUAACUCCGUGCCAGCAGCCGCGGUAAUAC
rnacentral:rRNA from 1 species